UUAGAGAAUGUAUACGACAUCCGUGGUAAAAAUAGAAUGUACAUAGCUUGAGGGGGUAAAAAAGAAGAUUAUGGAUAAAAUUAUAUGACGAAAAAUCGCGUGAGAACGUGGAGGUGAGCGAGUAUGGUCAUUCGAAUUAUGCCUCCAGAAGGCUAAUACGGGCUAAUGACGAGUAAUAACUAAGGAAGACGUUAAAACAUCAGAGAGGAACCUAUAAAUAUUCAACAGCGUAUCACCCGACGAUGCAAAAUCGAGAGAGAAAAAGUAGAGAGAGAGAGAGAGAGAGAGAGAGAGAGAGAGAGAGAGAGAGAGAGAGAGACGGAUAGAGGAUGGAAAAAAAAGAAAUCGAUACUUUGAACAUCCAGCAAUUUAUAUCUCUAGACAGCCGGGCUCCUACGAUCGAACGGAAUGUUAAUGCAAAAUGUUAAUCGAUGCCGAUUUCACGUUUGAUAUAACGGACGUCGACCGCACGUGGACUCUUGUGAAUGAAUCCAGUCAAGUAAAGGUCAAGACCCUGACGAAUUUAUUGAAGAAUUUGUAAAUCGAGGAGUUCCGGUUUGUCACAUACGAAUUUGGAUUUAACGUGACUUCGAAAUGUCAAAGUACUUUUUUUUUUGUAUAUUUCGCCAUUGCUAAAUUUGUACAAUGACAGUUUGUCUUUGCUUUUACAGCGUGGAAGGACGCAUUGGUAAUAAGGAUACAGGGGAGGAGGUCGUUCUUUGGGUCUACGACUGUGUCUUAAGCGAAUUUAACGAAAUUCAAAUCUGCAGGCGAUAAUGACUUUCACUCGAUUUACCGAAUUUUACGAAAUUAUUCCUCGACGGUCUCUCUAACGAGCUCGUGGAUACCGUAUUAAGCGUUAAGCAAAGACGAUCGCCGGUAGGAAGCAUGUGCGGGCUCGCCUUAAUGCUGCUUUUAAUCAUGCUUUAAUUCAGACGCGCAGUCUCGGCAUUCGUUAAUUAUAUUCCCGUCUAUAUUUGUAUUCAUUACGUUCGCCGGUUACAUCUAUACUCGUAUACUGCUUUAUUAUAUAUUCUCCUGCGUAUACGUAUCUCUUACAUUCUGUAUAUAUACCGUGUUGUGUAUACACGCAAGGUAAUUGCGACCGUAUACGCCUGUAAUUACAUAUACCUAUAUAUGUAUUUAUAAAAGACCGCAUCGGCGAGGGUAAUGUAUUUUUAUCGGGCAAUCCCAUACGAUUGCGAUUUUAUUAUUAAUUUUUCCUGGCUUCUUUUUUUAUAAAACAGAAAGCUCCUUCACGCGCGUUCUUCCAUCAUUAUCAGUAAACUUUUUUGAAUCUCUUAAUUGGCUAAUGAACUCUAAUUUACAUCAUUACAGUCUCUGCUUACGUUAUGCAGGGUCACCCAGAUAAAACGCACCAAAAGAAGUUGGAGCGUUGAUUUAAUUUCUAUUAAAUAGCCACGAUUAUUACGAAGAGCCUGAAUAAUCGUUAAAUUAUAAAUAUUCUUAUGACGUACAAAUUCAUACAAAAUUCAGAUAGCAGCUUCGAACGCUUCAAUGAAUCUAAUGAAAUUUGAAUUCCAUGAGAUUCCCGCGCAUUUCCAUAAAAUCAUACAUAUUGUAUUUUAUUGCCAAUUAAUUUAUCCUCAUUCACUGAUGUGCUUCGCACAGGGCAAGGCAGAGACAGGCAUACUAUUAAUAGACGUCGCCAACGUUUAGAUGGACGGUAAAGAAAUUUAAAUUCGCACGUGCCAAAAAUAGGCAGUCGCCAAAUCACGAGUUAGGUGAUUACAACGCCGUCGUUAAUUGGCUACGUAAUUGAUGCCCAGGAACACGUUUCAAAUAAUCGAACGCAAUGUAAACCUUUUUCUUUUUUGUCCUAUCGUUUUCUUUCGUAACACGUAUCCUUGUAUCUACGUACGCCGACGUAGCAUUAUUCUCUACUGUAUUGUACUUACACUCUAAUGGAUAUAUAUGUAUAUAACCUAGGUGUAAGCAUCGGGGUCCGAAGUCACAACCUGCCGUGGUAUAGGUCGCCGAACCCGGCGUGUGACUCUGCGUUACUCGACACAAUGCCUUACAAAUUGUACUCUGCUCGGUACACAUUGACCGCUUGUAAGUGCACAAAAGAGCGGCUCUACAACGCCAUGAUAGAUUACGCAGGACUCCCUGUGACUCAAGUAUUUCCAUGAGAAUCAGAAGUCUCAUUAUUGUCAAUUGGCAUCGCCAAUGAUGCGCAGAAAUGAGUUUUGAGCGGUGCAUUCAAAAGAAAUAAUAUUUCCAGACAGAACUGUAAAACAUUACGACGCAGAUGAAACAGGGUGAAUUUGUUUUCACGUAUAUCUGGAACCUUGGGCAAAAUUGAAUUGAACGUCUGAUCCAUUUGAAAAUGAGAGCUUAUGGGUGGAUAUUGAUCAGAAUAUAUAAACGAGUGAGAAAUCGUAAAAGGGUACUGGCUGGCUGUAUCUGUAAAAGGCAAUGGCGUGUGCACAAGACUAAUACGGUCCUACCGACGACUACCAUAACGAGUAAGCAUAACCUAAGGUCACGUUUCGAUAGAAAAGGUAGCCACCCUGAAAGCAGAACCGAGCGGACUCCAUAUCGAGGUAUACCGGCUGGUAAAUGGCGACAAGGAUCGUUAGGCGACCUUAUUGUUAAAUCGAUCAUCACUCAUUGGAUAAGAACUGUGUGAUUGCAUGAGGUCGGUACUGAAGUGAUGCAUAUGUGAUAUAUACGACCUUGGGUCACGGAAUCAUCCCUCCUAUUUUACGAUGUGGUUGCAGUAAACUAAUGGCUGACACGCGUCGCGCUGUGGGAAUUGUAGAUUGUUCGCUGUCAAUCAUCGAACACGUGGAAGUGGGUUAAGCGAAACUUUAUAUAAUCGCUGUUGUUGGAAUCGUAGCCAUUCUCUGAUUGAUCGUUAUUAUCAUUACGUCAACAUUUUGAUCUUUUCUGGUGAUAACCUAACCUAACCUAGUAAUCAUAUCUAUUUUCUUGCUCAGGAUUAAUUAGUGAGAAAUACAAGACGUCGUGUUACAUGGGUGAAACACAAGUGUUCAUAUGCAUUAGAAGGAACUUGCUUGGGUGUCUAACGCGAUUCAAGAACAUCCGGGAUCCAUGACAUUUGGCAAGAAAUUAUUACUUUAUUAAUAUUCUGGAAACCAUGGCUGAAUAUACCGGUCUGGCAAUUUAUAUUCUCUGUAUGGUUUGCUUGAACCGAUAUGUCUUUAUCAACUUUAUGGUUUGUUGAGUGUCUGCAGUUAUUUUCAGUGGGAAAGUCAAUUUCUUAAAAGAUAUAUUCCAAGUUGAGGAUAGUUCUAAUAGAUUUCUAAUGGUUUAUCGUGGUGCACUGCAUAAGGAUUUGCAAUUACUGAGAUUGCCAUACGAAAUGUCUGUUGCGAAUUCUUUUUCUUGUUUAGUCUCUUGUUUUUUCUUCUUUCUGUGUACCUUUUCUGUUUAUCUACUAUCUUCCAACAUAUAUGGAUACAACGCUGACAGAAAGUCAUUAAAUCUUUUGAUACUCUGAUGACGUCAGUUCUUAUUGAUUAAAUUAAUUUUGAUAUCACAAUUGCACAACGGUCCCAAGCAAAUAUGUACAGGUGCUAAUAAUUAUUGAAUAUUGGAUGCUCAUUAAGUAUGAACUUUAUAUGAAAAUUAUUAUCGACGGUAGAUUAAUCAGCGAGUAAUUUAGAGGACAGUUUAAUUUAUGAGUGAAGUUGAAUUAACUUUUGCAGUGCAGUGUACAACGUACGUGUGUUGUUCACGUACUGCUUGACGGGGGUAAGAUGCAUAAAUCUAUGGUCGGUACAUAAAUAUUAACAUAAUUCAUGUCGACUAAGUGCAGAGGUAGAAUGAGGUGCACGGCCGUAAGUGAAAUCGUUCUUUGCACCGAUGCGUGAUUGCACUAAUUUGCAAUAAUCGAACGUUCGCCACGUCCGUAACCAUGCGCCGCCGGAAUCGAUCUCGAUCGAUCGUAUAUCGACCCUGCGGUUCAGUCGAUCGAUUACAGAUGAUAGUAAAAAUGAAAAUUUCCUUUUCAUCGAUCGAAAUUUGUCUUCCAAUCAUUUACGGAUAUACCCUACCUUUCUGUUUUACAGCGAUAUCGAGUAUGAGGGACAUAAAGAAAAAGAUAUAUGAUUUAAUAACACUCAAUUGACUAACACCCUUAUUUAUACGGCCCUGGCGCAGGUAAAGCUGAAUGGGGACUUGUCCUACAGUGCGUAGGCCGUCUCUUGAUUGGUCAGAGAAGUCGGCCUUCACAGACUCCGCACUAAUACUCCUGUAGCUACUUUCGAAUUCUCAUGAACCACGAAAACCGUACGGAACCAUACAGGAAUCUGGUAUUCCUUUUAAAAAAAUAUAUAUAUAUACAUAUGUAUGUGUAUUGAGUACACGUGGAAAUAAUUCCCAAUGGUCUCGAAAAACUUGACAUACCGAUCUAAGUGUGGGGAAGAAAUUUGGUAAAAUUUUGAGAACGCAUUCUGAUUCAUGCUGAAAAUUAGUGUAUGAUCUUUUUUGAGCAAACAUUUUUUCAGAGUAAAGUUUGAUAUUUGAUUCUUAUAAAAUUCAAAAUUACAGAUUCGCGCGUUUUGAAUAUCGAACGAGGUUCUUUGGGAAUGCCAUAAUUUGCCGUUUUUUUUUGUGGAAUUUGGUUUAUUUGAGACAUGUACAAAAUUUGCAUUAUCCUUUUCCCAAGGAUCAGCCGAAUGGGAUAUAGCGUGAAGAGUUAAAAUGUCGAUUAACCACCCCGAGCUAUUCUAGCACGAGGUCGUGCGACUCGAGAUCGAUUAGCCAAUCAAUAAAUACACACAUGUCCCGCUCAGGGUGUGGUUUCGAUGUCGCUAUCGACUUAUGCACGGGGGAUGACGUCAGGUCCGGAUUGACUGUAGUUUCGAGAGGGAGCAGGAAGCAGUGAUCGAAGUGAGAUCAAUCUCUCGGAUCAGUGAUCUCAGCGAAUGAAAUCAUUGCUGAAUGUGGAUCACCGUUUAGGUCGCCUCUUCACGGGACUUUGGAAGCAGCAAAAUAAUUAUCCGUGAGAUUUACACGUACCAUAAAUACAAUUACAAUCGCCACGUGGACAUCGUAUACGACGUUGUUAAAACGUGGGAGGCCAUCUUGGUAUUUUCGUGAUGCGUUCUACGCGUGGGCUUGUUUUCAAGAUUAUUCUAGCCAGUCUCGAAAUAUCAGCGACUAUAUUUAAAGGCUUAGAUGUUCCCUGACGUGCCAACCCUCGUGACUCUAAGUCAGGACGGUAUUAUGGAAGAAACUGUCGGUGUGGAGGAUCCUUUUUGGUAUUCCCAGCUAACCUGAAACAAUACAAUUUGCAGUAAGACAAUAUACCGGAUGACCAGAUUGAAAAUAAUCACAAGUCACAGGCACGUUAUUAACCCUCCUUUGGUCGUUUUAUUAAUGGUCGUUGAUACAUCGAUAAACCGUUUAUGGCUUAAAUUUGACUGGACACUGGAUUAGCAUUCGACGGCUACUGAACUGUCUGUGGUCCAGAGACGAUCUUUCCCUUCAAAUAUGGCAAGACAGGAUCGUGAUCUCACGUCUGGCGAAUUUGCAUCAGCAGCGCUUAAAUAUAUGACUACUACAUCCACACUGUAAUUAGCGUCGAUGCAGCCGCUCGACAAUGUCAAUUUGUCCUGACGCUUUUGUAUUUCGUGUGACAAGACACGAUGCCUAUAGAUAUAGUUACGCUACGACAAUACAGUCAGCAAAGUAUCGUAUGGAAUAUUCAUAAGACAAUGACAUAUCAGGUCUUUUGUAUAUAGUAAUACAGCAGUCAAGAUAUACUUAGUGAUCUGUCAUACAUAAAACACUGUAUAAAGUCUUAAUAUUUUUCUAAACAUUUAAGGAUACACGAGACACUUUCUAUAUGAAAAAGUACAAAGAAAUUAUAUAUAAAUUCAAUACAGAUUUAGUAUAAAGAUAAAAUGUAUUAGUAUACCGUAUACGGAAGCUUUAAUUGUACUGGAAAGAGAAGUGAUAUACUUUGGUACAGACUGCUGUAGUAUGCUCGGUGUGAAGGGUGCCUUAAGCGUGUAAGAGAGAGAGAGAGGAAACUAGCAGCAGCACCCAGUGACCGGUAGCAUUGAUUGAUUCUUGCUUUUCUUACUUUUCCACGAGGUCCGAUUCCACGAAGCAAGAGGCCGUAGCUCAGGCAUCUCACGAGAUGAAAGGAGGGAUGGAGAGAGAGAGAGAGAGGAUGCUCAUGGUGAAGUGGGCGUGCAGGAUGCUAUAUACUCGGAUAUAACAUAGCUACCAGAAGAUCGUGAGUCUGAGUAUAGAUGCUUGUGAAAAGAAUCUUUGAACGUGGGUCGAGCGAUAAAAUCAAUCGAUUGGUAUAUACAUAGACGUACGGGGAGUUUUGAAUCAACCGGUAGUCCUGUACCGUACCGUGUUGGUAUGACUUGGCUCUUAUGCAUAUAUGGUUGGUAGGCGGCACGUGCGUGUAGGUAAACGAGUUAGGUCGACGUCGUGAGUAUCUUUCACCGGAUGCACUCCAGGCUCCGGGCUCUGGGUCAAAAUCAAGGAUAUUGUCAAUCGCGAUAUUCUCUGCCUACACGUGUGCUGCUUCUCUUCUCUUUGAUUUAUAAUUGCGUCGUGUGAAUAGAGAGAGUCAUUUAGGCCUCUUCGUCUUUUUUCACUCUCUAUUUAGGUAGGUGUACUUUGGUGUUUUAAUUGAGUGCACUUCUGAGGAGAGGAAUGGAUAAUUGAAAAAUUGAUAUAAAAAAUUGAUUACCUUGUGAGACUAUGAUUUUUAUGAGUUUGAUUUUCGGUUCGUCGGAGGAUGUUCGUGAGAAGAUUAAGGAUGUCAUAGUUUGUCGGGGUGUCGAUGAUCCUUCUUGGUUAAAUAUUUAAAGAGCGUGGUCAAGUGAUGUUUGCUUGGAUUCUUUUCUUGGCUGUAGGACAGACAAGGAGGGAGAACGAGAAAGAGGUAUGGCCAGAGAGAGAGUGUAGGUCAGAGAACUUACCUCCCGGAAAUCCUCUUGAUCCACGUUUUUUUUCUUCAAGCUGGGUCUUUUUCUUUUCAUAAAUUCCCUCGGCGAGCACACCCAAGCUACCGGCCAGACGGCUUGAACAACGGUGAAAGUACUAAGGAGCCAAGAAGUAGACCCCACCUUUGGUGCUCCACUAGGAUGCAGCUUGAACCUUCUCUAACCUAAAAACCUGAAGAGUGCCGGUGUAUCUCGCGAAAAAGAAAAUAAGUGACUAGUUUAACUCAAAUCUGCCAUAUCCUACAGAUCUUGGACCGCACAUUUUAUUUUGUGAACAGGCGUUUAAAGAUAUUCGAAGACAUAUUCAUACAGUAUUUUUUUAACAAUUAAUACCAAAAAAGUGGCAUCACUAUCCUUCGAUGUUAAUUAACAAUCUAUCUCUUAUCAGUUUAUACAUUUUAAUGGGAUUUCAUGUUCCAUUGAAUUCAACAGUAAUACACUGAUUUAUCAGACACCCAGCCGAUUGGCCGUUUUCCUUGAAUCGUUUAAAAAAACUCUAGUGGCGCCACGCAGCGGGAAUUCUGCGCGACACCAUAAACCACGACAAUGCCGCUCGAAUCUUUUAGCGAACUAUCCUGUCGAGCAACAAUAGAUCACCCAGUCUCUAUCUAACAAGUGAACCGUUAAAUCGGCACUCUGUCCAACAACAAACCGACGAUAUCUCACGAGGCGUAAGGUAAAACUUCAAUUUUCAAUCUACGUACGAUGCAUGCACAAAUUAUACCAAAGGAUACAUUUAAUUUCCCACGUUGUCGGUAACCUCAAAUGUCCUCUCAACGUUCAAAGCUCCGUGGAAUAAAUCAGAUUGCAAGUGCAGUACAAAACGCCGCGGCCACCGUACCUGCCGAGAAGUAGCGUCUCGUAGGAGGAAAUGGCAAAGGCAUAAGACAGAACACAAGUAAAGGAAUAAGAAAAGAAAUAUAAAAAAAAGAGUCCGAGAGAUAUAAAGGCCGGCGCAGGGAACGAAGAUGCCCGCCGCGAGAUACGAACUUCUCUUUGACGAGGCCGCUCGCGAUUAUCCGGCUACGUGUGACGUGACCGGUCGCGAUAAAUUUCAAGGAAGACCGAAUGAACACGUAACCUUCUUCCCGAUGAAGAUCCUAUUCCAUUAUCCGGUAUAAAGAGGGACAUAAGACAUCAGGAGAGGAAGCGUGGCAGCGCUAGGUUACACGCUACUCUUUCGCGUAGAGUGUCUUUUGUGGAUCUUAGGAAUUUUUAUUGCAACGUUACGGCGUUACGGGUUACACGACGACAAUGCCGACUACGACUUCGGACGUAGGCGUGUUAAUGGUCGGCGUUGCGUGCUCCAGUUCUACCUGUUCUACUUGUUGCAAAACUAAUCUGCUACUCAGGUAGCCAGAGAUCGCUCGUGCAUGCCGCACGGCGUUGGCCUACGCCUACGGUAAUUGCGCAUCGUUGCGUUUUCACCGUAAUACACAGUGAGAUCGCAGAUAUCGAGUCAAGAUAGUCUGUUGGUAUGGUGAAUUCUGAAGUUGCUGUGGAAUAUACUAAGAGGAGCGUAAGGUCGACGUGCUAUCCCGAUAGCGAAACGUGGUUUGUGGACUUCCAAUAUACAGCUUGGUUAUGUCAUACACCGAUACCGCCGCGCCACUGGUACUGCGCAGAAGCGGAAGUGACGGUUUAUAUUCAAAAUGGACAGAUCGGUCAAUCGAUUGUUGAGGUAUAGAAAAAGCAAUUAAUAUUAUUUAAUCUAUUUUAGACGUUGUUGCAUAUUAAUAAUUUUUAUGACGUUAUCAUUUGAUUUUUGGAAUUUUUGUUUAUAGACAAAUUUUGACUAUGUGAAUUUUUUUCACGAUUUUGAGAUUCGUGAUAUAAACGGAUCUUCAGUCUGUAUCCGGCUCUUCUGGGAUAACGAAGUCGAAUAAGGUAUAUCGUUGGGUCUGACCAAGGUGCCGUGGGUCAGGAGGCCCCGUGUGGGUCCCACACGAAAACGUGACGGGCCUCUGCGGAGGGUCCUGGCCUUCGUUCCUUUUAGUCUGCUCGAAAAUCAUGAUUUUCAACGAGAGCCAAAACCUGCUCCACACUCAUCCGCAUCGUUUGUCAGGUCGAUCCUGGCAAAUAUGGUAUAACCUAACCUACAAAAUUCUCAUAAUUUCGCUUUCACACUCAAUUAUCCAUGUCGACAUAAUAAUUUUGAGUCUUGAAAAACAUCCAGGAUGUAUUUGUUUCGUUAUUAAGUAUACUUAAAAAAUUAUUUAGCUCUCUA